UCCUACCAACAAACCCUAACCCCUUUACUCUUUCAUUUGCUGCCGCUUCCUCUGCCUCACCUCGUUCUCUCUCUCUUUCGAUGUCUCCGAUUUUCUUCCUUUUCCUCUUGAUUCCACCACCACUUUCCCAAGACUCUCUGACUCUGAUUCUCAAAAAAGAGUUUUGUUUAGGAGAAAGAAAACAAAGAUCCAUAAUAUAAGGAUACCGGAAGAUUGAAUACUGAUCCUAUCAAAGAAUCCGGACGGAUGAAAUCAGCAUCAAAAUAUUAAACUGUGCUUUAUCAUGGGAUAAUGAGGAUUUCGUUUGACUAAUUGGAAGAAAUCCCCGAUUUAAUGGACUAUUGAACACCAUGGCGUUUCACCAUACCUUUCAAGACGGUUACAGGAGUUCAGAAAACUCAGUUAUACCCGUUGAUGCCGGUGAAGAAGGGGAAAUCCCAUAUCUACCGUUUAGAAGGCUAAACUUCACAGAUGAGGAUUGAGAAGAAUGAGUUCAUGUUCCAACCAUUAUUAAAUUAUCUUUUUAGCUGUUGUAUCAUUUUGUUCCCACUUUCAGGUACUUAUUGGGACUUCAGGAUGGAAGUACUUCUGCAAUUUGUAGUUUGAAGGGAUCUUCUAAAGAGUAUAAGAAUUCGCAAAGACACCAAAUACAGCAACAUGGAUGAAAACACUAAAGAGAAGUUGCAAAGCAGAUCGAAGUGCCUUGUAUGCUAACAAGGUGGUAGGUUCGAGAAAAAUGAAGAAGCGAGGAGGACUGCUGCCAACUGCACCAUGGACCCAGUGUACACUUUACCGGCUGAGAAUCCUCGGAUUACACCAAAGAUACAUUCAAAUGGGCAAAGAAGUAGGAUAUGUGCCAUCAAUGUCAAAGAAUGACAGAAAAGGGGAGGUAGUAAGAUGUCUUGACUGGGCAACAAAAAGAUUUGCACACCUUUACAUUUACAUGCUUGUAUGUAACGUUGAGGUCUCCUUCAAUGACAUCGUCAACUCCAGAUGCCAUGAAAAGAAGAGUUUUGUAAAAUCAUUUGCCAUCUUCUGCGACAAAAUGUUUGGGCUUGUAGUCCUAUAAUGCCGGCUGAUAAUAAGUUUAGGAUUUUGGCAACAUGUGCUGUCAUAGUAUUUGCUUGUACAAUUUGAGGGUUGUUUGUGUAGUUAACUACAGGCAGCCAGUUUUUUUGCGGGGAUGUCCACAAACCUACCUGACUUUGACCAUCGAAAGCACCCAAGAUGUCUUUCUUAUUAUUUCACUGAGAGCUUAGAUAAACUUGUUAUUGCUGUACAAUCAAAUCUAUGACAGAGUAAAGCAACUGGC